CAAGUCUGUCACUUCAAAAGGGCAAACAUGCCACCACACCAAGCUGUGAUUUUUCACCUUGUGCAAUGGAGUCGCCCUGAGAGUCUACAACAAUUCAUCUUAUUUCUGUAAGAGAAGAAUGAAAAUAUCUAACCACCAAGAGAUCAUUUGAAGAUACAUGAACAUCCACGUGCCAGGAAGUAGAGUUCAAGAGUUGUGGUCGAGCUCUGCUUACCUUACAACUUCAGCUCCAGGGACAUCUCUCAAGUGCAAAGCAGGAUGCCAAGGUGGAGUUUGUCCUGUGGAUGCCAGCAGCUUCUCAGUUUGCUGAGAAAUAAAGAGUGAGGUUGAUUUCAGAAGAAAUGAUCUUCACGAUGCUAAGAACACAAGGCGGGAUUUCAAAGGAAGGAACUUAAAGGCCUCAGCUUCAUAUGACUGACCUCAGCUUCUCGUGACCUCACCUGGCUGACCUCAGCUUCUCGUGACCUCACAUGACCAACCUUGCUUCUAAGGAGUGGUGUGAGACCCGUGAAGCCCUUACCAUUCUAAGAAUCUGAUGAGUAAGAAAGGACAAACACAUGACAGGGGAGAACAGGAAAAGAAAUCUUUUCUUCAUCAAAAUGCACCUCUUGAGUCAGGAAAGACUCUUGUCAGAGUCUGGACAGUCUAAUAUCUAUGCACCUUCCAGCAGGUUCUGACUGGGAGCACACUGUAUUUGUGAAGGGAGGCUUUGACUUCAGUGAGCAGAAAGAAUACUGACCUGCAGAGGAUCUGUUCCCCCUACCCCUUACGCCCCCCACCUCUCCCCUCAGCUUUCCUCUAUCCCCCAUCCCUGACACACACAUAAGGUUCCUGGGGAAAUGUUGGGCAUUGGGCUAUGCAAAGACAGUCUGGUCUCCAGUCGAGCUGAGAUGUUGAACCCCAGGACCCAGUGGUGAUAAUUCACCUACAUGGGACAGAAGGAGUUCUCUCAUGUCUCCUGGAACUCUGGCUCCUGUCAAAGUUACCACCCCCUCAGCCCCCACAAAAGAAGCAUGGUUAGUACUCACAUAGGCAAUGUCCCAACCUUCUGACCUUUAGGCUAGACUCCUCCCCAGUUACCUAGCAACAGAAAAGAUAGCAACAUACUUUAAGAGGGGCUGUUUGGCCCCUCCUUGCUCUCUCACUCCUCUCUCUCUCCUCUCUUGCUCUCUUUGUUUUCUCCUCUCCUCUCCUCUCCUCUCCUCUCCUCUCCUCUCCUCUCCUCUCCUCUCCUCUCCUCUCCUCCUCUCUCUAGCCUUUCUUCACUCUCUCUUUUACCUUCUCUCUUUCCCCCUGCCUUUCUAUAAUACAGCUCUAAAACCUUAGUCUCUGCUCAUCAAGGCCCGCUGCGCAGACUCUUGCCUUUGUGGGAACCUCUCUCCCUAAGCCCUCUCUCCCAUAACCCCAGGACACAAUAACCCCAGGGCACAGGGUGUUGCUUCAGGCCCCUUGGUUUCGUGGGCUGCCCCUUGUCCACCCCCACCCCAGUCGAGUUGGGUCAGUGGCUAAGAUGCCCACCUGGGGCUGAGUGGAAAGCGUCUGACAACCCUCCCACAUCUGCCUGCCCAUAGCAUAGGUAGAACUCUAGCAAGAAAUGAGCUAUCCUCCCUCCCCACUCUUUUUCCAGCCCCUUUUUAGUUCCCACAGGGAAACAUUUACUUUGGCUGGUGAAGAACCUAAAUCUGAGAUAAUGGCACGAGUGAUGGGCCUCACAGCCAAUCAACUUUGAUUUUGAGGAGUUCAGCUAUGCUCCUUACAAUAAGACCAUCUCAGCUGUCUAGUUGAUGGUUUAUAUCCAUUUUACCUUCACAUAGAAGAGCAGGGUAUAGCUUGAGGCCCGAACAUCUGCCUAUGUCUGGCAACUCUGCACAUGGCCUAGAAAAAAAAAAAAAGGCUAGAAUAUACAGAGGCCAGAGAAGACUUGGGGACGGGGACUUCAUCUAUGCAGCUAUGGGUAGACUGCCAUCCUUGGGUAAGGUGUAGCGUAUGCCUCCUUUUGUGACUGUGACCUUGGUAGGAGGAGUAGACAUUGCUGAAGUCCCAUCCCUGGGAAGAAAUGCCUUCUAUUUAUCACAGCUUCACUCCAGCCUGAACGGUUUUAUUUUAGGAGAUUUCCUUUAACCUUUCUCAUUACUGUCCUCACCUUUGCUCUUUCUCAAACUGCAUUGUCAACCUGUAUGUCUACUGCAUACAAGUGUAAAUUGAUUGGAAAUCUCCCCCUCCCAAGACCCCCACACAAUAUAUACUUGACCUAUAUAGAUGAUUCAAUAAAUAUUGGUUGAUUUAAUAAUCAUUAAAAAGCUAA
rnacentral:lncRNA from 1 species